UGGCUCAGGACGAACGCUGGCGGCGUGCCUAAUACAUGCAAGUCGAGCGGGAUUAUWUCAGAAGCUUGCUUCUGAUAUAAUCUAGCGGCGGACGGGUGAGUAACACGUAGGCAACCUGCCCACAAGGCUGGGAUAACUACCGGAAACGGUAGCUAAUACCGGAUACAUCGUUUCCCUGCAUGGGGAGAUGAGGAAAGGCGGAGYAAUCUGUCACUUGUGGAUGGGCCUGCGGCGCAUUAGYUAGUUGGUGGGGUAAUGGCCUACCAAGGCGACGAUGCGUAGCCGACCUGAGAGGGUGAUCGGCCACACUGGGACUGAGACACGGCCCAGACUCCUACGGGAGGCAGCAGUAGGGAAUCUUCCGCAAUGGGCGAAAGCCUGACGGAGCAACGCCGCGUGAGUGAUGAAGGUUUUCGGAUCGUAAAGCUCUGUUGCCAGGGAAGAACGUCUUGUAGAGUAACUGCUAUGAGAGUGAC
rnacentral:rRNA from 1 species